AUGGCGACUAACAUCAAAGCCAGAAUUUCCACCUCCAAUUUCCUGGGAGACUGGUGAACCUGAGGGAGAACGAAGGCUAGACGGAGGAGUUCCAGCUCCCUAAGCCGAAUUGUCAGCAGCAGAUCCUCCCUGGUUGAGCGUGGAUCGCCGAGAUCCAUGCGGAUCCCUGUCCCCAGAUCAACGCCGUCGGCUUCCGCUGUAGCCGUCAACCGUACGGGAGUGGAUGCAACACUCGGCAAGCCGCCUAACUCAGGAAACUGCAACUGUUCAAGCCCACCAAAACCACUAGGUGACAACACACCCUUAAAGCUAAGGGAAAGCUAAAGAACUGCUCAGGCUCCACAAGUAAGUGGGUCAUGGAAGGUUGUUGUAACAGUAUGCACAAAUAAGGUAUACUGAUCCUGUAAUAUCCUAAAAGAAGAAGUCUGCCUGCCCAAGAAGACCAUACCUUACCAUAGAGGUCUGCCUGCUCAAGAAGACCAUCCUUUACCAUAGAGGUCUGCCUGCCCAAGAAGACCAUCCCUUACCAUAGAGGUCUGCCUGCUGAAAAAGACCAUCCCUUACCACAGAGGUCUGCCUGCCAAAGAAGACCACCCCUUACCAUAGGGGUCUGCCUGCUGAAAAAGACCAUCGCUUACCAUAGAGGCCUGUCUGCCCAAGAAGACCAUCCCUUACCAUGGCAGACUAGCUCAACUAUAUUUAACAGUAGGUCUGACAUUCAAACUUUGUUUCUUCCCACCUCCCCAGAACUCCCCUCUUGGGCCCCUGCUCUUCAUCUCCCCUCCCACAUGCUCCCUUACAGCACACUCCCUGACACGGGUCCAGAUCUCCGCUUCGCCCCUUCUUUUCUGCCACCCGCUGCACAUCAGGGUUUGCAAAAUUUCUAAAUCCCCUGUAGACCUUGUCAGACAUGCAGUCAUUCUUCACAUUUUAGUAGCCUGAAAUGAAAUAUGCACCCCCCCCCCCCAAAAAAAAAAAAAGUUACAAAUUUGACAUUGGCACAUAUUUUGUAGUUCGUCAACAUCAUGGAUAUCGACAGAAAAGCAAAAGGACAGUUCCUGCACCCAGACAUCCCAAGAUAAAAUAAAUCGAUGAACGAUUUGCCUUUAAGACACUUAUGUCCGAUCAGUCCAGAUUUGUUGUAAUAACAACAACAGACACAACACUGUAAUGUUAACAUUAUAGCAGAGAGCAAUGUAACUGUUUAGUGUUACCAUUACAUAAUGAAAAUAAUAUGAAUAUAAACAAUAUAUGAUAAAUGAAGUGAA